GGGUGCUUGGCGCAAUGGUAGCGCGCGGUCCUCCUACUGGGAUAGAGACUGAGGUUGAGGGUUCGAGUCCCUUGGUGCUCG
rnacentral:tRNA from 2 species